UAGCCGUAAACGAUACUCGCUAGGUGUCGGCCACGGUGCGACCGUUGUCGGUGCCGUAGGGAAGCCGUGAAGCGAGCCACCUGGGAAGUACGGCCGCAAGGCUGAAACUUAAAGGAAUUGGCGGGGGGAGGCACCACAACGGGUGGGAGCUUGCGGGUUUAAUUCGGACUCAACGCCGGGAAUCUCACCGGAUAAGACAGCUGAAUGAUAGUCGGGAUGAAGGUUUUACUAUGACUAGCUGAGAGGAGGUGCAUGGCGUCAGUGACU
rnacentral:rRNA from 1 species